GUUGUUAUAGCUCAAAGGUAGAGCAAGCAACUGUUAAUUGCUUUGUGGUGGUUCGAUUCCACCUAACGACU
rnacentral:tRNA from 1 species